rnacentral:rRNA from 1 species
GAUGAACGCUGGCGGCGUGCCUAAUACAUGCAAGUCGAGCGAACGGACGAGAAGCUUGCUUCUCUGAUGUUAGCGGCGGACGGGUGAGUAACACGUGGAUAACCUACCUAUAAGACUGGGAUAACUUCGGGAAACCGGAGCUAAUACCGGAUAAUAUUUUGAACCGCAUGGUUCAAAAGUGAAAGACGGUCUUGCUGUCACUUAUAGAUGGAUCCGCGCUGCAUUAGCUAGUUGGUAAGGUAACGGCUUAUCAAGGCAACUAUGCAUAGCCGACCUGAGAGAGUGGUAGGCGGCAUUGGAGCGGAGACGCGGACAUGGCUCCUACGAGAGGCAGCAGUAGGGAAUCUUCCGCAGUGGGGGAGAGCCUGACGGAGCAACGCCGCGUGAGUGAUGAAGGUGUUCCGAUCGUAAUGCUCUGUUAUUAGGGAAGAACAGAUGUGUAAGUAAAUGUACACAUCUUGACGGUACCUAAUCAGAAAGCAACGGCUAACUACGUG